rnacentral:rRNA from 1 species
UUGGAUUGAGAACAACGCACAACACUUAUCGAUAAACAAUUGGAGGGCAAGUCUGGUGCCAGCAGCCGCGGUAAUUCCAGCUCCAAUAGCGUAUAUUAACGUUGUUGCAGUUAAAAAGCUCGUAGUUGAAGUGAAGUGUGAAUCUUUUGGAUUUUCGUUUGAAUUUCCUUUAGCUUCAUACUCUUUCCAAAUAGUUUGCAUGGGUAUUUACUUAUCUGUGUAUUGCAUUUGGUCAUUUACUGUGAGAAAAUUAGAGUGUUCAAAGCAUACGUUUGUUUGAAUACAUUAGCAUGGAAUAAUUCGAAAAGGCUUUCAUGUUCGAUUUGAUUGGUUUGUUCGUGAAGGCAAGAUUAAAAGGGACAGUUGGGGGUAUUCAUAUUCAAUAGUCAGAGGUGA